UUUCAAUGUAAAAACAUUUUUACAUCUUGACGUGACUGAAUAUCAAAAAGGCUGUGUCAAAAUGUUCUGUCUUUACAAAGGCGAUGCUUGUCAAAGAUGAGCAAGGAAGCCUACAGGGGAAAAGACACUCAUGUAUUUAACCAAAGUACAUGGGAAAAUGGAAAAACUAAAGUUCGAGAAAGUCCAUCUAUUACUACAGAAUCAGAAUAUGUAAGGGUUAGAACAUACCUAAAGGACCAUUUUGUCUACAUGCUAACCUAAUAUUUUCAUUUUCCAAAUCGCCUGGUUUCCUGCUCUCAAGUAAGUCAGUGACCCUCACCUGUAGUGUCCGUCGGCCCCAAGCUCAGAUCCCCACAUGUCCAGGAUAGAAGGAAUUCCGGUUUGACAACUGGGGAGACAGCCUCAUCACAAAUCCUGCACUAUAGGGAGUAUGGAGAUCUAUUUUAUUCUACUUUGGGGACAACUUUCUAGCACACUGCACAAGAAGCAAAGGAAAUAUUCAAUCAAUACUGGUGUCCAUAGGAAAAGAGCUACUGAAGUCUCGGACAUUGAUAUCCUGUUUAGAGAGUUGGUGACAGAGGGUGGUGUUUGAAGAAACCGUGAAAGAGCUAUCAAAUAACUUGGUGUCGGGGCCUG
rnacentral:lncRNA from 1 species